rnacentral:rRNA from 1 species
UACCUGCAGCUCGAGUGGUAACCGUUAUUAUUGGGCCUAAAGCGUCCGUAGCCGGUUUGGUAAAUAUCUGGGUAAAUCGUGAGGCUUAACUUCACGAAUUUCGGAUAGACUGCCAGACUUGGGAUCGGGGGAGGUCAGAGGUACUCCAGGGGUAGCGGUGAAAUGUUGUAAUCCUUGGAGGACCACCGGUAGCGAAGGCGUCUGACUAGAACGAGUCCGACGGUGAGGGACGAAGCCCUGGGGCGCAAACCGGAUUAGAUACCCGGGUAGUCCAGGGUGUAAACGAUGUGGGCUUUGUAUUGGAGGUCCCACGUGGGCGUCCGGUGCAGAAGAGAAGUUGUUAAGCCCACCGCCUGGGAAGUACGGUCGCAAGGCUGAAACUUAAAGGAAUUGGCGGGGAGCACAGCAACGGGAGGAGCGUGCGGUUU